rnacentral:lncRNA from 1 species
GCCCGCAUCUUUGAAUCCAAUCAUUUGAUUAGAAUAAACUAUAAAGACUGGCUAAGAAACUUCAGAAUUAUUUUGACUUCUGAAAAACUAGAUCAUGUACUCAACUAGGAACCCUUAGUAUUACCAAAACAUCCUACUGCUGAGCAAAGAGCUGCUUAUAAAAAGUGAACGGAUGAGGAUAGUCGGAUUAAGUGCUAUAUGCUGGCUUCUAUGUCAAAUGAGUUGCAAAGUUAGCAUGAGCAUAUGCCCACUGCCAGGGCUAUGAUAACUCA